rnacentral:other from 1 species
UAUUGCCUGCCCGAUGCGUGAAUGAUUUUAAAAUAACCCUACAACACUUAAAUCGGGAGCUUUACUCUUUGAGUGGUGUGCAGACCUCCCGUUCCCCGGAAGAAGGGAGCCUGAAGCUCAAAGGAGGGCACCCACCUGUUCUCUUCAGUAGGCAGGUUAUUAUUUAAAUCAUACGGUCGGGCGGGUCUUUU